CGUCAAGCUACAAAGGGCUCACGGU
rnacentral:rRNA from 1 species